rnacentral:lncRNA from 1 species
CCCACAACUUUUUGUAAAUACUUCUUAGGCAUACUCCCAAGAUUGAUCAGUUAGGAGGGGCCGUUAUUUAGUUUAGCCAGAAAAAAUAAAAAGCAAAAGCACAGGACUCUUGGGUCCAAGGACUGCCUCUGAAGCAGCCAGACCUGGGUUUUACACUGAGAAGAUUAAAACACAUUCAGCACAGGGACUCUUGCUUAUUCUCCUGGUAAAUCACCUUGUAUGCCAAUGGCCUUGGGCUGCUGGAUUACAGACAGGGAAUUUUGAGUAGAGACAAGCUCUGGGCUUUGAGAGUUGAACCGCUUUUUUCUCCUGCCUCAGCAUCAGUCAUAGAGACUGGAAAUAUAUCUUCUUGUUCCCUGAUCCUUCACAGACAAGGUGAUGCCUACCUCUGUGGAACUGCAGCUUCUAGCUUUCUGUGGGUGAGUGGUGAAAGACCAUGGUCAGAUCAGGCCAGGUACAUCCCAGGGCCUAGCAAAGCAGGCCCUGAAUUUCUUCCACAGUAGGAUCAGGCCCAUUUGGGACUAUCUCUCUCCCUGUUCCAAGACAGCAAGUUUUCUUGGUAGGUGCAUGCUAUAGAGGGCCCAGAGGACCCCAGCAUAGAGUUCCCAGUCCACAAGAGUCCUAAGAAGCAAAACAUGGAGGAAUAACUAGCCUCCUCUCCAUUAGGCUUGUAGCUUUUUACUAAUGAAGAGGUUCCUUUGUUCCCCCAGACCAGAGUUGCAGAAGGCCCAUCCCAACCCCCCUGUCUGGGAUGACCCUUUCCGGUGUCCCAAUCCAUGGAGCUCCUAUGCAAUAUAUAUGAAGGUGUUCAAACUUUCAUAAACCUAGUGAAACCGAUUCCCUUUCCUUUUCCUCAAGCCUUUCCAUCACUGUGACUAUCUGAAAUUCUGCCAAGUACAAAAAUUAGUGUCUGACUCUAAGGGUUUGAGAAAAUGUUCCUUCCAGUCAUUUCUUCCUGGCUGCCCCAAAUUGAGCUCAGUGCUUUUUACAAGCACCACCUGCUCCACCCACUACCAAUGGAGGUUAAGAUUAUGUUUAUGCUCCUCUGAAGACUACUUGCCCUAGGCCUAUUUUUCACCAAACACUCCUUUUCCUUAUGCUCAGAUUUAAAGAAAGGGGCAUAUGAAUGACACAGUGGAGCUGCAGGGACAGAGGGUAAGCUGAGGCAGUAGCUAUAGCCACAUAAUCUCUCCAGGUCUGCACUGUGGCUUCCUCUCCUGAGACAAGCCUUCUGCAACAAUGGUAGGCUCUGUGCUUUGAGUAAAGGCCCCUUUGGAUCCCAGAGAUGGAGCAGUUCCUUUGCUCCCAGGUACUGGCCCACUCCCAAGUGCUUUUCUUCCUUUGAGAACAGCCAGAGCCAUGAGCACAUUGCCUCUUCCCACCUUCAGUCCAAGUGACUGGGCCUAUAGCGCAGACACUGGCCUUUUUGGCCCUGGUGCUCCCUAUGGGAUGUCACCCUGGCCUUGUUUGAGUGGCCAGAUCUGGGAGUUUCAGCAUUCCUAUUACUAACAUGGGAGGCACAGGAUCAAACUCCCUGGGAAGAGGGCACCUCACUGGGGAGUGAGUCCAGAAUUGUGCCUGGGCCUCUUAGUCUGAAGCACAACCUCAAUCAUUGCAGGUUUCAUGGCUUCAGUAAGAGUGGUGCAAGGAAGCCCUAAAGCCAAGAGGCAUAAGCUGUCUGGCAGGGGCCCAGGCUAGCCAUGACCACCGCAGAGCCAAGAAUAACCUCCAGGCAGGACUGGUAGCAGACUCUAGUGAUCCUACAAGCAUGACCCCUUCAAACUAGCAGAGUAAAGGCAGGAAUAUACUUGGUACUAAAAGGGAGACCAACUGGAUGUCAGGACAACAUCCUGUAGCACCUGUAACCAUAACCCUUUUUACUCCUCAAUUUACAGUAGAAUAAAAUUGCUACUUUCUCCAUGCCACUUAGUUUGAAUAUGCCCAGGAUCUCUCUCUGGGCUCCUGGCUACAGCUCAGAGAAUAGAGAUCUCCUGGCUGGAGAAUGGAAAAUAUUAAUGUAUCAUGCCUGUUCCUUAUAGCUCAGUCCUGGAAUGGGGUAGGACUGGGCAUUUCCUCUGCUGUUGCUUUCCUGCUGCCACUGCUUUUGGCAACCUUGAAAGGAAAGAAAAUAAACAGAUGACAGAAUUCCACUAGACCCAACUAACACUAAGGAAAACCUUCCCUCUGAGCCACAUGUCCUGAUGACCAAGAUUGUGGACAGGGUGUCACAUCUGUCUGGGCCAGUGACUAAGAAGCCCAAUCACAUUCUAGUUUGGAUAGCAUGUGUUGGCAUGACCAUAGAUGAGAACAUCAAGGUACAAGCAGCAAGGCCUUCCCAUAUCCAUGUGAAACAAAGGCCUUCAAGCUUAGCCUUCUUUAAGAGAUGGCCUAUGCUCUAUCUGCCAGCCAAACACAGGAUUGUGAAGGGGGGCUCAGAAGAGUCAAGCAACUGUGGGGUCCAAUGCCCUCUAGUCCCUUGUGCCCUUCCUAUGUUCUUUUCUGAGGAAGGUAACUUGACAGUAAGCUGAGGGGAACAUCCCCAAGCCCUGUCUUUCUCAUCACUACAGCUGCAUGCUCCUCCCUAUGGCUCAGCCUUCACUCCUGAAGGAGCUGAUGCUCCCAGAGGCUGGGCACAGUGAAAAUCAUAAUAAAGAGAUUGUGAUGCU